rnacentral:rRNA from 1 species
GGGUUGUGAGGUUAAGCGACUAAGCGUACACGGUGGAUGCCCUGGCAGUCAGAGGCGAUGAAGGACGUGCUAAUCUGCGAUAAGCGUCGGUAAGGUGAUAUGAACCGUUAUAACCGGCGAUUUCCGAAUGGGGAAACCCAGUGUGAUUCGUCACACUAUCAUUAACUGAAUCCAUAGGUUAAUGAGGCGAACCGGGGGAACUGAAACAUCUAAGUACCCCGAGGAAAAGAAAUCAACCGAGAUUCCCCCAGUAGCGGCGAGCGAACGGGGAGCAGCCCAGAGCCUGAAUCAGUGUGUGUGUUAGUGGAAGCGUCUGGAAAGGCGCGCGAUACAGGGUGACAGCCCCGUACACAAAAAUGCACAUGCUGUGAGCUCGAUGAGUAGGGCGGGACACGUGGUAUCCUGUCUGAAUAUGGGGGGACCAUCCUCCAAGGCUAAAUACUCCUGACUGACCGAUAGUGAACCAGUACCGUGAGGGAAAGGCGAAAAGAACCCCGGCGAGGGGAGUGAAAAAGAACCUGAAACCGUGUACGUACAAGCAGUGGGAGCACGCUUAGGCGUGUGACUGCGUACCUUUUGUAUAAUGGGUCAGCGACUUAUAUUCUGUAGCAAGGUUAACCGAAUAGGGGAGCCGAAGGGAAACCGAGUCUUAACUGGGCGUUAAGUUGCAGGGUAUAGACCCGAAACCCGGUGAUCUAGCCAUGGGCAGGUUGAAGGUUGGGUAACACUAACUGGAGGACCGAACCGACUAAUGUUGAAAAAUUAGCGGAUGACUUGUGGCUGGGGGUGAAAGGCCAAUCAAACCGGGAGAUAGCUGGUUCUCCCCGAAAGCUAUUUAGGUAGCGCCUCGUGAAUUCAUCUCCGGGGGUAGAGCACUGUUUCGGCAAGGGGGUCAUCCCGACUUACCAACCCGAUGCAAACUGCGAAUACCGGAGAAUGUUAUCACGGGAGACACACGGCGGGUGCUAACGUCCGUCGUGAAGAGGGAAACAACCCAGACCGCCAGCUAAGGUCCCAAAGUCAUGGUUAAGUGGGAAACGAUGUGGGAAGGCCCAGACAGCCAGGAUGUUGGCUUAGAAGCAGCCAUCAUUUAAAGAAAGCGUAAUAGCUCACUGGUCGAGUCGGCCUGCGCGGAAGAUGUAACGGGGCUAAACCAUGCACCGAAGCUGCGGCAGCGACGCUUAUGCGUUGUUGGGUAGGGGAGCGUUCUGUAAGCCUGCGAAGGUGUGCUGUGAGGCAUGCUGGAGGUAUCAGAAGUGCGAAUGCUGACAUAAGUAACGAUAAAGCGGGUGAAAAGCCCGCUCGCCGGAAGACCAAGGGUUCCUGUCCAACGUUAAUCGGGGCAGGGUGAGUCGACCCCUAAGGCGAGGCCGAAAGGCGUAGUCGAUGGGAAACAGGUUAAUAUUCCUGUACUUGGUGUUACUGCGAAGGGGGGACGGAGAAGGCUAUGUUGGCCGGGCGACGGUUGUCCCGGUUUAAGCGUGUAGGCUGGUUUUCCAGGCAAAUCCGGAAAAUCAAGGCUGAGGCGUGAUGACGAGGCACUACGGUGCUGAAGCAACAAAUGCCCUGCUUCCAGGAAAAGCCUCUAAGCAUCAGGUAACAUCAAAUCGUACCCCAAACCGACACAGGUGGUCAGGUAGAGAAUACCAAGGCGCUUGAGAGAACUCGGGUGAAGGAACUAGGCAAAAUGGUGCCGUAACUUCGGGAGAAGGCACGCUGAUAUGUAGGUGAAGUCCCUCGCGGAUGGAGCUGAAAUCAGUCGAAGAUACCAGCUGGCUGCAACUGUUUAUUAAAAACACAGCACUGUGCAAACACGAAAGUGGACGUAUACGGUGUGACGCCUGCCCGGUGCCGGAAGGUUAAUUGAUGGGGUCAGCGCAAGCGAAGCUCUUGAUCGAAGCCCCGGUAAACGGCGGCCGUAACUAUAACGGUCCUAAGGUAGCGAAAUUCCUUGUCGGGUAAGUUCCGACCUGCACGAAUGGCGUAAUGAUGGCCAGGCUGUCUCCACCCGAGACUCAGUGAAAUUGAACUCGCUGUGAAGAUGCAGUGUACCCGCGGCAAGACGGAAAGACCCCGUGAACCUUUACUAUAGCUUGACACUGAACAUUGAGCCUUGAUGUGUAGGAUAGGUGGGAGGCUUUGAAGUGUGGACGCCAGUCUGCAUGGAGCCGACCUUGAAAUACCACCCUUUAAUGUUUGAUGUUCUAACGU